rnacentral:rRNA from 1 species
UACGGAGGGUGCGAGCGUUAUUCGGAAUUACUGGGCGUAAAGCGCGUGUAGGCGGGGGGAUAAGUCUGAUGUGAAAGCCCUGGGCUUAACCUGGGAAGCGCAUUGGAAACUGUUUUACUUGAGUACUGGAGAGGAAGGGGGAAUUCCCGGUGUAGAGGUGAAAUUCGUAGAGAUCGGGAGGAAUACCAGUGGCGUAGGCGCCCUUCUGGACAGUAACUGACGCUGAGACGCGAAAGCGUGGGGAGCAAACAGG